rnacentral:rRNA from 1 species
UACGAAGGGGGCUAGCGUUAUUCGGAUUCACUGGGCGUAAAGGGUGCGCAGGCGGCCGUGUGUGUGAGGCGUGAAAGCCCGGGGCUUAACCCCGGAAUUGCACCUCAAACUACAUGGCUAGAGCAUUGGAGAGGGUAGCGGAAUUCACGGUGUAGCAGUGAAAUGCGUAGAUAUCGUGAGGAACACCAGAGGCGAAGGCGGCUACCUGGACAAUUGCUGACGCUCAGGCACGAAAGCGUGGGGAGCAAAAGGG